UACAAGUAUUUUUUAAACAUUUCCUAUAUCUUAGAUUGUAUUCACCGGGGAAGGACGCGGUUUGGACAAGGCAGGAAUAGCUAUACAGGAAAUUCAUGGAAAACACUCGCCAAUAGAAGACACUGUGAUUCAAGUGUUCUGGUCCAAAGAUGUCAAAAUAAUUUAUGAAAUGUUUGAAUUUUAUGGUUGGGAAAUUUCUGGAUUAUUCGAAAAACGU